CCAGGACGUGAUACCGGUGAAGCGGCACAUACAGGAACAAGGCAGGAGGAAAAUAAUAAGCACCUUAAAGUUUCCACUUUUCGGUACCGUACUUCCUGUUAAUGUUUCUAAGCCCGUGAUUCUGGGCCUGAUAAUCAGCCAGCCGUCCUCACAGCAGAGUUGUAAGACGCUGGGCUGCUCAAGCACAAGUUCAUAUCUAGACCCACCGCUGGCGAGCAGCCCUGGACGUCCCGCUUAGCUGUCCUAACCAACUCAGGUGGCCUUGAUCCGCAACAGGACGCGGUACCACGUAAUGAACUGUCCAUUUGAGUGCAAGGAUUUAUAUUUGUUAUUACGAUUUGGGGGUGUUUUUAAGAGGCAGGGUUUUGCCCAGGCUGUUCUCGAAUUUGGGGCUCAAGCGAUCCUCCGACCUCAGCCUCCCAAGUAGCUGGGACUACCCGUGCAUGACACCCUAUCUGGCCCUUGUUUUUUGUUGUUGUUGUUGUUCUUUCUUUUUUCACGUGGUUUCGCACUUGUCACCCAGGCUGGAGUGCAAUGGUGUGUUGUCGGCUCACUGCAACCUGUCUCUCAGGUUGAAGUGAUUCUCGUGUCUCAGUCUUCCGAGUAGCUGGGAUUACAGGCGUGUGCCACCACGCCUGGCUAAUUUUUGUAUUUUUAGUAAAGACGGGGCUUCACUAUAUUGGUCAGGCUGGUCUCGAUUUCCUGACCUCAGGUGAUCUGCCCACCUCAGCCUCCCAAAGUGCUGAUAUUACAGGCGUGAGCCACCACGCCCGGCCCGUAUCCGGCUUUAAGAUUUGUUUUUCACUUGCCCGUGGGAGGAUGUACUUAUCUCAGAUGCUAGAGCCGGGAGACCCUCCCCCCCACCACCCCCAUCUCCUGCAGGAGCUCUGAUCGCAGAUUGGAGUGUCUGAACUCUGCAUCUAUGGACGGUGCUUCUGUAAGCCGGCCGCAACUCUGGAGUGGCAUAGUAAAGUGGCAAAGGCUUUGCCUUUCUGGUUAAAGACCCCAGCACCUCCAGUGAGACCCUUUCCUGUACCCCCACUGAUAUUCUUUAUGGAAUGUUUUGUGCGUGAGUCAGCACAUUUAAUGCCCGUGAAUAGUGACAAAACAUGGUUUGCAGUACCCUAAUGACUGAUGAUGCUGAGAAUCUUUUGAUGUGCUUGUUGGCCGUUUGUACAUCUUUGGAGAAAUUUCUCUUCGUGUCUUUUGUCUAUUUUAUUUUUUUGGGACAGAGUCUCACUCCUAACCCCGGGCUGGAGUGCAGUGGCACGAUCUCCACGCACUACAAUUCUUGUACCUCAGCCUCCCAAGUAGCUGGGAUUACAGGCGCACGCCACCACCCAGCUCAUUUUUUUAUUUUUAGUAGAGGUGGAGUUUUUUGUAGAGAUUGUGUCUCCCUGUGUUGCCCAGGCUGGUCUUGAACUCCUGGGCUCAAACUGUCCUCCCCCCUUAACCUCCCAAAGUGCUGGGAUUACAGGUGUGAGCCAUGGCACCCAGCCCUAGAAUGAUUUUUUAGUUUCCCUUUAAACUUUAUUUUUUUAUUCACUGUAGUGUGGUGGACGGUGGUGCCCCAAAACUUCACAACCACCUAGACAUUCGGAAGGUGACCUUAUUUGGAAUAAGAGAUUUUGCAGAUGUAAUUGAGUUAAAGAUCUGAAGAUGAAAUCAUCAUGAAUUUAGGGUAGGCCGUAAAUCCAAUGACUGACAUCCUUACAAGAAGACAAGAGGACACAGGCACCCGGGGGAAGAGGCCGUAGGAGACCCAGGCAGAGAUUCGGAGCGGUGCCCAUGCCAGGGAUCUCCAGGAGGAGCCAGAAGCUGGGAGAGGCCCUGCAGAUCCUCUCCCAGAGCCUUUGGAGGAGGCACAACCCUGUCCACACCUUGGUCUCCACUUUCUGGCCUCCAGAGCUGUAGGGGAACCCACUUCUGUGGUUUGAAGCCACCAAGUUCGUGGUGACUUAUGGCAGCCCUAGGAAAGUGACAUGCACAGGUAAACCACAUUCACUGCAGGAAAUAUACAAAUCAGCAAAAAGAAAAAAAGCACACAGGGGCACCACCCCCAGAGACAGCCAUGGCUGACAUCCUAGCGGCUGUCACCUCGGAGUGAUGUUCCUAAAAUGCAAACUUCUGAACUGCUUAAAACUCUUCCAGACACCCUCAGGUUGACAUCACAACUCCUUUGUUGGGCCUUCCAAGGCUGGUCCUUCCCGUGGCCUCUUUUCCCUCCGCUCUGUGACAGUCCAUGACGGGCACACUUGCCUAUGCUUGUUCUCCCAGGCAGUGGCCUUGUGUGGGCCUUCAGCUUCCAGUUCCAUGGCCUGGUGGAGGACCCUGUGGUGCAAGCCUUCCUCCAGACCCCCCUGGCCUGGGGCCCAAGACUGGGAAGCCUUUGAAGAUUUCAGUUUGUAAGUAGUGAGAGCAAUGAUCUUGGCUUUGCAUGGUGCUCAGGAAGCCUUCCCCGCUCCCAAACCAGAAAGGAAUCCAUCCAGAUUUUCCUCCACUGUCUGGAUGGCCGCUCUGUGGAUGCUUCCAUCUGUAUCCAUUGCCGGCACCUGGUGAGAUUCCGUCUCUAGAGCCUUUGAGGUCACUCCUGACGCUGACAUGGCUGUGAAGAGCUGGGUGCCAGGCAUUACUGCCUCCAAGGUUGCUUUGCGAGGAAUAGGUGGGGCAUCAGGAAGAAGCCAGUUGCAGGCAAGGCCUCUGCUGAUGCUGCUUUUUUCUCCUGUACCCAUCCAUGGGAGGGAGCUGUGAGAUGGCCUGGCAGAACCCGCUCUUGGACCCCACAGAAUGAGAGGCUCACCCUGCACAGGAACAUCCUGGGGCAGCAGGCUCAGCACAUUUUAAAUUUUGAGUAUGAACAAAGUAAACUUCAGGGUUAAAAAAAAACACAAAAAUUUGUCGAGCACACAAUGAUUGAGUGCCUAUGGUAUACCUGACGCUUUGCCAUAUCCAGGCUUCAAACCUCAGGGUUCUGGGUCCUUUGAGGCCCAGCUCCAACCCCACCUCACCCAAGCACUCUCCACCCCCACCACGUAACCUUACCAGGGCUGCCCAGCUUGGGUCAUCUCAGACCACUUGGGCCCCUCAGGCCUCACGCCCUGAGCCCCUCAGCCUGGAAACCAGCCUGGACACUAUGGGGGCCCCUGAGGUUUCCACCUCCUGCUGCCCUUGGCCUGAAAGGGGUCAGUGGGACCCCGCCUUGGGCCUCUGGGAGGCUGUACCUUUGCUUCUGC
rnacentral:lncRNA from 1 species